GAUGAACGCUGGCGGUAUGCUUAACACAUGCAAGUCGAACGGACUCUUCGGAGUUAGUGGCGGACGGGUGAGUAACGCGUGAGAAUCUGGCUUUGGGUUCGGGACAACCACUGGAAACGGUGGCUAAUACCGGAUGUGCCGAGAGGUAAAAGAGAAAUUGCCUGAAGAUGAGCUCGCGUCUGAUUAGCUAGUUGGUGAGGUAAAGGCUCACCAAGGCAGGGAUCAGUAGCUGGUCUGAGAGGAGGACCAGCCACACUGGGACUGAGACACGGCCCAGGCUCCUACGGGGGGAAGCAGUGGGGAAUUUUCAGCAAGGGGCGAAAGCCUGACGGAGCAAUACCGGGUGAGGAAAGAAGGCUAUUGGGUUGUAAAACUCUUUUCUUAGGGAAGAACAAAAUGACGGUACCUAAGGAAUCAGCAUCGGCUAACUCCGUG
rnacentral:rRNA from 1 species